GGGUUCAUCAGCUCAGUUGGUAGAGCAUGAGACUCUUCAUCUCAGGGUUGUGGGUUCAAGACCACGUUGGGCAAAAGAUCA